CUAUGCACUCCUACGGGAGGCAGCAGUGGGGAAUAUUGCACAAUGGGCGCAAGCCUGAUGCAGCCAUGCCGCGUGUAUGAAGAAGGCCUUCGGGUUGUAAAGUACUUUCAGCAGUGAGGAAGGUGGGUAUGUUAAUAGCAUAUUCAUUUGACGUUAGCUGCAGAAGAAGCACCGGCUAACUCCGUGCCAGCAGCCGCGGUAAUACGGAGGGUGCGAGCGUUAAUCGGAAUUACUGGGCGUAAAGCGCAUGCAGGUGGUUUGUUAAGUCAGAUGUGAAAGCCCGGGGCUCAACCUCGGAAUUGCAUUUGAAACUGGCAAACUAGAGUACUGUAGAGGGGGUAGAAUUUCAGGUGUAGCGGUGAAAUGCGUAGAGAUCUGAAGGAAUACCGGUGGCGAAGGCGGCCCCCUGGACAGAUACUGACACUCAGAUGCGAAAGCGUGGGGAGCAAACAGGAUUAUAUACCCUGGUAG
rnacentral:rRNA from 1 species